GACGAACGCUGGCGGCGUGCUAAUACAUGCAAGUCGAACGCACGAAGUUGAAGAGCUUGCUCUUUAACCAAGUGAGUGGCGGACGGGUGAGUAACACGUGGGUAACCUGCCCAUUAGAGGGGGAUAACAUUCGGAAACGGAUGCUAAUACCGCAUAGUUUCAGGAAUCGCAUGAUUCUUGAAGGAAAGGUGGCUUCGGCUACCACUAAUGGAUGGACCCGCGGCGUAUUAGCUAGUUGGUGAGGUAAUGGCUCACCAAGGCAAUGAUACGUAGCCGACCUGAGAGGGUGAUCGGCCACACUGGGACUGAGACACGGCCCAGACUCCUACGGGAGGCAGCAGUAGGGAAUCUUCCGCAAUGGACGAAAGUCUGACGGAGCAACGCCGCGUGAGUGAAGAAGGUUUUCGGAUCGUAAAACUCUGUUGUUAAAGAAGAACAAGGAUGAGAGUAACUGCUCAUCCCCUGACGGUAUUUAACCAGAAAGCCACGGCUAACUACGUGCCAGCAGCCGCGGUAAUACGUAGGUGGCAAGCGUUGUCCGGAUUUAUUGGGCGUAAAGCGAGCGCAGGCGGUUCUUUAAGUCUGAUGUGAAAGCCCCCGGCUCAACCGGGGAGGGUCAUUGGAAACUGGAGAACUUGAGUGCAGAAGAGGAGAGUGGAAUUCCACGUGUAGCGGUGAAAUGCGUAGAUAUGUGGAGGAACACCAGUGGCGAAGGCGACUCUCUGGUCUGUAACUGACGCUGAGGCUCGAAAGCGUGGGGAGCAAACAGG
rnacentral:rRNA from 1 species